GGCAGGAUUAUGGUUGGAAAACUUUCACUAUUUUGUUGGAGGAUUCUGGAUUUUAUGCUUAUUCCCUCCUGAUUCAGGGAAUUCUCUAAUCGAGAUUUUGGAAAAAACUGUGAAUUUAUUGAAAGUUCCUGGAAUUUUUCAACCCUAGGCAGGAUAAUAAAUGCCUUGAGGUGAGUUAUGUUGAGAGUACCGUAGGUGAGUUAUGUUGAGAGUACCGUAGGUGAGUCAUGUUGAGAGUACCUUAGGUGAGUCAUGUUGAGAGUACAGUAGGUGAGUCAUGUUGAGAGUACAGUAGGUGAGUCAUGUUGAGAGUACCGUUGGUGAAUCAUGUUGAGAGUACAGUAGGUGAGUCAUGUUGAGAGUACAGUAGGUGAGUUAUGUUGAGAGUACAGUAGGUGAGUCAUGUUGAGAGUACCGUAGGUGAGUUAUGUUGAGAGUACCGUAGGUGAGUCAUGUUGAGAGUACCUUAGGUGAGUCAUGUUGAGAGUACAGUAGGUGAGUCAUGUUGAGAGUACAGUAGGUGAGUCAUGUUGAGAGUACAGUAGGUGAGUCAUGUUGAGAGUACAGUAGGUGAGUCAUGUUGAGAGUACCGUAUGUGAGUUAUGUUGAGAGUACCGUAUGUGAGUCAUGUUGAGAGUACCGUUGGUGAAUCAUGUUGAGAGAACCGUAUGUGAGUCAUGUUGAGAGUACCCUAGGUGAGUUAUGUUGAGAGUACCGUAGGUGAGUUAUGUUGAGAGUACCGUAUGUGAGUCAUGUUGAGAGUACCGUAUGUGAGUCAUGUUGAGAGUACAGUAGGUGAGUCAUGUUGAGAGUACCGUAGGUGAGUUAUGUUGAGAGUACCGUAUGUGAGUCAUGUUGAGAGUACAGUAG
rnacentral:lncRNA from 1 species